AAAAGUUAAGUCCAGAGUCACUCAACAUUCACAUCCAGUAGAUCUCUGUUGCCGUCCACCACCACCAACUUCGAUUGUGUCAGGCAGGUACCUGAUAUAAUAAUUAACACCCAACACACUUUAGUUAAUAUAGUGAUCAAUUAUUUUUUGUCUCUAAAUUUGGUUACUAUAAGACACACUUGAACUUCUGGGAGAAAUAAGUAAAGAAUAAUGCCAUAUAUAAAGGAAAACUUAGAAGAGUUCAGGAAGGCUCACAUUUCUUCUUCAGGUUCAUUCUUGAGUGCAUUUUUUGCUAUGCACUGGAAAGCAGCUUCAACAUUAAAUCCUUCUUUUGCAGAUGUCUCAAAGUAUGGUAUGUUUCCCUUUGAAGCACACCAUGCCUUUGCUUUCUUCUCAGAAACCUGCAACAGAACAUGUUGUGAAGAACGGAUACAUGUAAAAAAAAAGAAGAAAUGUAGCUUUAAGCACAUCUUCCCACAACUAUACCAGAAGCCUACUCACCACACAUCAUUGAACACAGAAAUUUUAAGAAGGGUAAUGAUACAUGGACAACCCAAAAUUUUUAUACAACCAUAUUACAACUCCC
rnacentral:lncRNA from 1 species